AUAUCAGUCAUGCAUAGCAUAUCAAUAAGCGGAGGAAAAGAAACUAACAAGGAUUCCCCUAGUAACGGCGAGUGAAGCGGGAAGAGCUCAAAUUUGAAAUCUUCAAGGGUUUCCCUUGACGAAUUGUAGUUUAAAGAAGUGUUUUCUGUUAGAGAGGUGGUAAAAGUUCUUUGGAAUAGGACAUCAUAGAGGGUGAGAAUCCCGUAUUUGAUCACUUUCUACUAACGUUGUGAUACACUUUCAAAGAGUCGGAUUGGUUGGGAAUGCAGUCCAAAAUGGGUGGUAAAUUUCAUCUAAAGCUAAAUAUUGGCGAGAGACCGAUAGCGAACAAGUACCGUGAGGGAAAGAUGAAAAGAACUUUGAAAAGAGAGUUAAACAGUACGUGAAAUUGUCAAAAGGGAAGCGUUUGACACCAGUGUUGUUUUUCCGAAAAUCAAUUACGAAUGUUUUGUUUUUGAGGAGUUAUGACUUCAUCGGCUUGCUCCUUUCUUUACGAAACUUUCUUAAUGCACUUUUCGGUUAACAAGUCAACAUCAAUUUCUUUUGUUGUAAAAGGGUAUGAGGAAGGUGGCUUUCUUUUCGGAGAAAGUGUUUAUAGCCUUGUGCCUCUGCAAUCGGAGAGAUUGAGGUCUGCAGCGUAGAUCCUUCGGGGUUAGAUACGUUUGUGCUAAGUUAUAGCUUUUCAUAGACAACUUGUUGACUAUGUUUAGUCUUGUAGCUUACUCGCUGAUGCUAUUUUACCUACGCUUAGGAUGUUGAUGUGAUACUGCGAGCA
rnacentral:rRNA from 1 species